ACGACCUUACUUGAACAGGAUCUGUUCUAUAGGCUCGUACUUCUGUAUCCUUAGCACUAAGGAGACAGGAACCUAACUCUGGUUGAUGAAUCAUGACCGUGGGAUCAGAGCGUGAUUAACGGCUGAGGUGGUCCUUGUGACCAUCAAGGCUGUAGAGGAUCGUUCUUAGGCAGCUUGCUGGCUGGGGUGGUCUCACGGUUGUCUGACAGAUU